GACAGAGGAUGCAAGCGUUAUCCGGAAUUACUGGGCGUAAAGCGUGCGCAGGCGGUUGUGCAAGACAGAUGUGAAAUCCCCGGGCUUAACCUGGGAAUUGCAUUUGUGACUGCACGGCUAGAGUGUGUCAGAGGGGGGUAGAAUUCCACGUGUAGCAGUGAAAUGCGUAGAUAUGUGGAGGAAUACCGAUGGCGAAGGCAGCCCCCUGGGAUAACACUGACGCUCAUUGCACGAAAGCGUGGGGAGCAAACAGG
rnacentral:rRNA from 1 species